UUUUCCGGUUGAUCCUGCCGGACCUGACUGCUAUCGGAUUGAUACUAAGCCAUGCGAGUCAUUGUAGUAAUACAAGGCAGACGGCUCAGUAACGCGUAGUCAACCUACCCUAAGGACGGGGAUAACCUCGGGAAACUGAGAAUAAUACUCGAUAGAACAUAGCUCCUGGAAUGGUUUAUGUUUCAAAUAAUUUAUUGCCCUAGGAUGGGACUGCGGCCUAUCAGUUUGUUGGUGAGGUAAUGGCCCACCAAGACUAUUACAGGUACGGGCUCUGAGAGGAGUGGCCCGGAGAUGGGUACUGAGACACGGACCCAGGCCCUAUGGGGCGCAGCAGGCGAGAAAACUUUGCAAUGUGCGAAAGCACGACAAGGUUAAUCCGAGUGGUUUCUGCUAAAGGAACCUUUUGUCAGUCCUAGAAACACUGAUGAAUAAGGGGUGGGCAAGUUCUGGUGUCAGCCGCCGCGGUAAAACCAGCACCUCAAGUGGUCAGGAUGAUUAUUGGGCCUAAAGCAUCCGUAGCCGGCUUUGUAAGUUUUCGGUUAAAUCCAUGCGCUCAACGUAUGGGCUGCCGGGAAUACUGCAAAGCUAGGGAGUGGGAGAGGUAGACGGUACUCGGUAGGAAGGGGUAAAAUCCUUUGAUCUAUUGAUGACCACCUGUGGCGAAGGCGGUCUACCAGAGCACGUCCGACGGUGAGGGAUGAAAGCUGGGGGAGCAAACCGGAUUAGAUACCCGGGUAGUCCCAGCUGUAAACUAUGCAAACUCAGUGAUGCAUUGGCUUGAUGCCAAUGCAGUGCUGCAGGGAAGCCGUUAAGUUUGCCGCCUGGGAAGUACGUACGCAAGUAUGAAACUUAAAGGAAUUGGCGGGGGAGCACCACAAGGGGUGAAGCCUGCGGUUCAAUUGGAGUCAACGCCGGAAAUCACUAGU
rnacentral:rRNA from 1 species